rnacentral:lncRNA from 10 species
CACCAAGCUGGUGAUCAUUUGGCUGUGGGUGGUGGAGGGUGGGGAGGUGGGGGGUGACAUGGUGCAGACCUUGGGGCUUGGCACGCGGGUGGGCGCUCAGUGACAUGUAGGAAUGGGGGCGUCACUUAGAGGCCGAGCUUCCCCAGUGCAGUUCUCUCUCAAGUGACCCAGCUCAUGUCCUAACAGCUGGUGAAAGGCCCCUGUGAUGACAUUGUCCUUGCCUUAUUACGAAGAAGAGGAAGCUGAGGUCCAGAGAGGGCAAGUGACUUGUCCAAGGUCACACAGCACAUCAGUGGCCAAGCCAGACCUCUUGAUUCUUGCCCAGGCCUCCACCUGCAGGCCGCUCUGGCCACCUCCUUCUCCAUCCCUGGCGGGGAAGAGACCCAAAGGCUGGAGGAGGCUUGGCACAGAGGCCCAGGCAGCUCUGGAGGGCGCCAUGAAGAUGGGCCGUGCCCACAGCCACCAGCAAACCGCCGAGAGACCCUGUGCUCCCUCCUGCCCACCACACACGGCACAGAAACACAUCCUGUGAAAACGAAGGUUGGCUCGAAGUAAACAGGUUAAGGUUAGUACAUCUUUAAGAGCCACAACUUCUCAGAAACUUGUGAAUUUUGUAGAUUCAUCCUCCUUUGUGGAUCUGUCCUGAGAGAGGAGAGCAAACAAGAAAUACUGUCAUUUAAAGAAAAGAAGGAAAGGAUGCAUCUCUAACUUCUGGGACCAUUCCCAAGCUGCUUCAUCGGGCCUGUAAGGGUGGAGUAUGGAGUUAAAAGGCCACAUCCUGGAGCCACUGACAAGUGUGAAGUGAGGAACUGACGUGAUCAGAUGUGGAUAUCAGGGGUCAAGGCUGGAGGUCAGGAGAUCAUUGAGGAGGCUGUUGGAAGGUCCAGCAGUUCUACCAUCAGAAAACACAGUGAAGGCUACGUACUGAGCUUUACAUACAAGGAUGUUCACUGCAGCGUUGAAGAUAACAGCCAAUACUUGGAAACAACCCUAAUGUCCGAUAGGGAAAGCGAUGGGUAAUUGUCGCAAAUCCUUGUAAUGGAAUAUUGUGCAGCCAAUAAAAGCCAUGACUGUGAAGCUCCUUUAAUAGCACCGAAAUGGAGGAGCAGAAAUGACACCUGCCGUCCUAUGUGCUCCCCACUGUGGCAUCUCUGCAGAGAGCAGAAGCUGCCCGAUACCUGACUUCUGAGUAAGUGGAGGAUGGCUGAGUAUAACUCUGCACCUGUAGCUGUGACCUACAUAUUCACUCACUCAAUCAAUCAUAAUUUUGAGCCCCUAAUCUGCAUCAAUCACAGUUUGAGAUGCUGGGGACACAGCAAUGGAUGUGAUAAACAAGGCCCCUGAGGUCAAAGUUGGGGGAGAGGAACAAUAGAUCCACAGGAUGGUCCUUUUCCUGUUCUAGAUCCACCAGUUUCUCUUUAUAGGUAUGCACCUAAGUGCCUCUCUUGCUCUGGGUGUCUGUACGUCUCAGUGUCCAGGUGCCCACAUGUGCCUGCAAUGUCCUCAGGCUUGUAAAGAGAUCUCACCUCAGUCCUGUGGCUUUGGCAGAGGUGUCUCCA